rnacentral:rRNA from 1 species
GACGAACGCUGGCGGCGUGCUUAACACAUGCAAGUCGAACGGAAAGGCCCUGCUUUUGUGGGGUGCUCGAGUGGCGACCGGGUGAGUAACACGUGUGUAACCUGUCCUUGACUUUGGGAUAACUUAAUGCAAUUGGGGCUAAUACCGGGAAGGAGCUCCUGCUGCAUGGUGGGGGUUGGAAAGUUUCGGCGGUUGGGGAUGGACUCGCGGCUUAUCAGCUUGUUGGUGGGGUAGUGGCUUACCAAGGCUUUGACGGGUAGCCGGCCUGAGAGGGUGACCGGCCACAUUGGGACUGAGAUACGGCCCAGACUCCUACGGGAGGCAGCAGUGGGGAAUAUUACACAAUGGGCGGAAGCCUGAUGCAGCAACGCCGCGUGCGGGAUGACGGCCUUCGGGUUGUAAACCGCUUUCGCCUGUGACGAAGCGUGAGUGACGGUAAUGGGUAAAGAAGCACCGGCUAACUACGUG